CAGCAGCCGCGGGAAAACGGAGGGUGCAAGCGUUAUCCGGAUUUAUUGGGUUUAAAGGGUCCGUAGGCGGAUCUGUAAGUCAGUGGUGAAAUCUCACAGCUUAACUGUGAAACUGCCAUUGAUACUGCAGGUCUUGAGUAAAUUUGAAGUGGCUGGAAUAAGUAGUGUAGCGGUGAAAUGCAUAGAUAUUACUUAGAACACCAAUUGCGAAGGCAGGUCACUAAGAUUUAACUGACGCUGAUGGACGAAAGCGUGGGGAGCGAACAGGAUUAGAUACCCCUGUAGUCCCUGUCUCUUAUAA
rnacentral:rRNA from 1 species